UAAGAGUCUUCAGGCAGAGGUGGUGUUGUUGAAUGCAGAGAGGGACAAACUCACACAGGAGCUCAAAUGCACACUGGAACUACAGCAGCAGCGAGAGAGAGAGCUGGUACACUUGAAGUAAGCUCUGUAACAAAGCAGGGAGGAAUUGGAGGCAUCAGAAUCGAGCCGAAUGGAGAUGCAGAGACAAUGUGAAGAGAAUGAGGGGACCAUUGUGAAGCUCCAUGCUGAGAACCAGAGACUGUAGCAGCAGUGUGACUCAGUUUUACAAAAGGUAUCAGUAUUUGAGAACGUGUGUGCAGAGAAGCUCAGGGACAUGGAGGCUCAACUCAACUCAGCAAGGAGAGAGCACACAAAAGCAGAACUAAUUUUGCUGGGGAAAAAAACAGAUCUGAGUGACAUGAGGUGCAGUGGUUCAGGAACAGGGUUUGAUGAAUGAAUAUAAAAGACAAUCAGAAGAUCAGCAAUUCAGACAACCGAGGCCCUGAAACAAAAGCAUCAUCCUCAGUCAGAGAGCAGCAAUCCUUCAACACCUGAAAGUCUGCUGGGGGCACCUGCAGGUUCUUAGUGCUGCAGUAAUGGGCAAUUUAGAGGAAGAGGAUGAUGAGGAGGGUCAGGCCAGGCCUUCACUGUGACACAAACACCCUCUUGUGCUGACACACAUAAAGAAUAGUGCUGAACACACCAAUCAAUUCUCUCUCACACACACUCGCUGUCUGUCCAACCCCUCUCAUGGGGUUUGAUGUCUGUUUUAUAAUUUAAUAAAAUAGAUUUUUAUUGGAAAUUAUCCCAUAUCCUUGAGAGUUAUGAAAAUGAGAAGCUGCCAUUAGUCACAAAAUAAUCAUCUAGGAUGAGUGAUAUCACUGAAACCACCUGUCAUUUUAGAAAAUAAGUUAUUCAUUAUUUAGCAGGAUUUUUUUUCAGAGCAACUCAUAGUUCAUUUACUACAAGGACCACAGAGAAACUUAGCAAUUCCAGUACAGACCCCUUGCAGUGUAUGAUCCUGUGCUAGCAGCACACAACACAUUUACUACAGUUCAAAUGUUUGGGGUCGUUAAGAUUUUUGAAGCCAUUUUCUAUUUUAAUAGAUUUUCAAAUGUAAUUCCUGAUCAUGGCAAAGCUGAAUUUUCAGCAGUCAUUACGCCAGUUUUCAGUGUCACAUAAUCUUUCAGAAACCAUUCUAAUAUGCUUCUUAUUUGGUGAUCAAGAAUCACUUCUUUAUCUUAUUAUUAUUAUUAUUAAUGUUGAAAACAGCUGUGCUACAUUAAUAUUUUCAAAAUUCUAAGUGUUACUGUGACUUUUGACCAUUUUAGUGCAUCCUUG
ensembl:lncRNA